rnacentral:rRNA from 1 species
AUUGAACGCUGGCGGCAUGCCUUACACAUGCAAGUCGAACGGCAGCACGGGAGCAAUCCUGGUGGCGAGUGGCGAACGGGUGAGUAAUAUAUCGGAACGUGCCCAGUAGUGGGGGAUAACUGCUCGAAAGAGCAGCUAAUACCGCAUACGACCUGAGGGUGAAAGGGGGGGAUCGCAAGACCUCUCGCUAUUGGAGCGGCCGAUAUCAGAUUAGCUAGUUGGUGGGGUAAAGGCCUACCAAGGCAACGAUCUGUAGUUGGUCUGAGAGGACGACCAGCCACACUGGGACUGAGACAAGGACCAGACUCCUACGGGAGGCAGCAGUGGGGAAUUUUGGACAAUGGGCGCAAGCCUGAUCCAGCAAUGCCGCGUGCAGGAAGAAGGCCUUCGGGUUGUAAACUGCUUUUGUCAGGGAAGAAAUCCUCUAGGUUAAUACCCUUGGGGGGAUGACGGUACCUGAAGAAUAAGCACCGGCUAACUACGUGCCAGCCGCCGCGGUAAUAC